rnacentral:rRNA from 1 species
CUCGUAGGCGGUUUGUCGCGUCUGCUGUGAAAAUCCGAGGCUCAACCUCGGACCUGCAGUGGGUACGGGCAAACUAGAGUGCGGUAGGGGAGAUUGGAAUUCCUGGUGUAGCGGUGGAAUGCGCAGAUAUCAGGAGGAACACCAAUGGCGAAGGCAGAUCUCUGGGCCGUAACUGACGCUGAGGAGCGGAAGCGUGGGGAGCGAACA